CUCGUGCGAACGGUUACUAAAGGGCCUGGCCAGGGUGGGCGGUUUCAGUCAGUGUGCUUCCCCUAACAGAAGGGCCUCGUCCUCUAAGAAAACCCACAGAAGCGAAGACAAAAGGGUCUUACACUCACAGAAAGGAAAGGUGUGGGCUGAGGACCAGGACUCUACCUGGUUCCUGCAGGAGGAGAGAGGGUAAGACCAAGGAGUCUUUUCCAGGACAAUUGGGUCUAAAGCCCAAGGAAGAAAGCUGGUCAGAUGUUAAACCUGAAGGAAAGAAGGCAGCAGGGUGGCAUCAAGACAAACCAGUCUAACCUGAAAGCCAGUGAGGAAUGGGACUAUUUCCUGCCACUUCAGUAAACAGACAUCAGUGACUUCAGCCCUCCAUGAGGGAGUGGUUGUGAAUACUUUUUAAGUCGACACAAGCAAAGAGAAAACGGCAGAGAGAGCUGCAAAUUUCCACCUGCCAAAGACUUAAUGAAUUACAUUUCCAUUACAUUUCCAGAUGGGGCUAAGUGCAAAUUGUAGCAGAUGAGGACAUUGGGGCAGAAAAGAUGAAGUAGUUCACCUAAGGACACACAGCAGGGAGAAUGUUGAAAAAUGUGUGUAUUUUUGAUGGAAACAGUGACAAUGCCAGUCACAGCUGAGGGUGCUUUGCUGGAAGGAUCUGAAAUGACUGCAUAAACCCACAACGGAGGCCAAGACAGCCCACGUCUGAAGCCUUGCCCAUUCUGAUUCUUUGCAUCGUCAGCUCCCAACACUGUCAGUUUCCAUGGAGCCAUGGGGACGAGAGGACUUGAGGCAAGUUCAGCUAGCGGAGCUCUGGGUCUGUCGGGAG